CUACCCUGUAGGACCUACCCGGUAGGCGACCCUGCCGACGGCCCCCGAAACUCUGUUUUUAUAGCAUUGGACUUCUGAAAAGAUAACUAAAUAAGUUAAAACUUUCAACAACGGAUCUCUUGGUUCUGGCAUCGAUGAAGAACGCAGCGAAAUGCGAUAAGUAAUGUGAAUUGCAGAAUUCAGUGAAUCAUCGAAUCUUUGAACGCACAUUGCGCCCACUAGUAUUCUGGUGGGCAUGCCUGUUCGAGCGUCAUUUCAACCCUUAAGCCCCUGUUGCUUAGCGUUGGGAGCCUACUGGAACUCUCCUGUAGCUCUCCAAAGUCAGUGGCGGAGCCGGUUCGCACUCCAGACGUAGUAGCUUUUACAUAUCGCCUGUAGCUUGGACCCGGUCCCCUGCCGUAAAACACCCCAAAUCUUCUAGGUUGACCUCGGAUCAGGUAGGAAUACCCGCUGAACUUAAGCAUAUCAAUAAGCG
rnacentral:rRNA from 1 species